rnacentral:rRNA from 1 species
UACGUAGGGUGCGAGCGUUGUCCGGAUUUAUUGGGCGUAAAGCGCACGUAGGCGGUUCGUUAUGUCGGAUGUGAAAGCCCUUGGCUUAACCGAGGAAGUGCAUCCGAAACUGGCGAGCUAGAGUACUAAAGAGGAUCGCGGAAUUCCCGGUGUAGAGGUGAAAUUCGUAGAUAUCGGGAGGAACACCGGUGGCGAAGGCGGCGAUCUGGGUAGAUACUGACGCUGAGGUGCGAAAGCGUGGGGAGCAAACAGG